ensembl:rRNA 5S_rRNA 5S ribosomal RNA
GCCUACAGCCACACCAUCCUGAGAGCAUCCAAUCCCAUCUGAUCCUGGAAGCUAAGCGGGGUCAGGCCCAGUUAGUAUUGGAAGGGAGACCUCCUGGGAAUACUGGGUGCUGUGUAGGCC